rfam:Brachypodium distachyon strain Bd21 chromosome 5, whole genome shotgun sequence.
CUUAUAUUCCUCCGUCCAACAAAGGUUGUCUCAAUUUUGACUAAAUUUGGAUGCAUCUAUACACUGAGUCAUGUCUAGAUACAUCCAAAUUUUGACAAACUUGAGACAUCUUUUGUUGGACGGAGGGAGUAUUUG